CUUGCUUUCACCUUGGCUCUUACAGCCUACUGGGAAACUAUAAUACAAAGACCUGAAACGCAGUUUGUUUCCAGUGCUGAUCUCCCUGCCUUGGAAAUUCUGCUCUAAGCUGUGUUCUAAGUUGCUCUGUAGGUUGAAGUGACAAAGCGCUGACUCAUUGCCUCCAAAGGAGAAAAGCCACAAACGGUCUUGCUUCCAGCUCUUUGGGAAACUAAGAAACAACUCGCUCUCCGCAGUGCUCUUACAGCCUACCGGGAACAUCUCUCACAAAGGGCUGUGAAAUGCAGUUUCUUCCCAGCCCUGAUCUCGCUGAAGUAGCACUUCUGCUCUGCCGUGUCCUAAAUAGCUCUAGAGGUGGAAGUCACAAAGGGCUGAGUCAUUGCCUCCAAAGGAGACAAGCCACAAACGGUUUGCUUCCAGGUCUCGGAAGCUAAGAAACAACUGGCUCAUCAUAGUUCCAUUACAGCUACCGUGAACAUCUCUCACAAAGAUCUGUGAAACGCAGUUUGUUCCCAUCCCUGAUCACACUGAAGUAGAACUUGUCCUCUGCCAUGUCCUACAUUGCCCUAGAGGUGCACGGAACAAAGUCCUGCCUUUUUUCCACAAGGGGAGACAGGCCACAAAGCGUCUUGCCUCCAGAUCUUUGAGAAGCUAAGAAACAACUCGCUCUCCUCAGUGCUCUUACAGCCUACCGGGAACAUCUCUCACAAAGACCUGUGAAACGCAGUUUCUUCCCAGCCCUGAUCUCGCUGAAGUAGAACUUCUGCUCUGCCGUUUCAUACAUUGCCCUAGAGUUGGAAGUCACAAUGGCCUGCCUGACUUCCUUAAGAGGAGACAUGCCACAGACCGUCUUUCUUCCAGCUCUUUGCAAGGUGAGAAAGAACUCGCUUUCCACAGGUCUCUUACAGCCUACCGGGAACCUCUCAUAAAAAGGCCUGAAAUGCAGUUUGUUUCCAGUCAUGAUCUCACCGCCUUGGAAGUUCUGCUCUAUGCCAUAUCCUACAUUUCUCUAGAGGUGGAGGACACAAAGCUUUGAGUCGUUGCUGCCAAAGGAGACAAGCCGCAAACGGCCUUGCUUCCAGCUGUUUGGGAAGCUAAGAAACAACUCGCUCUCCACAGUGCUCUUACAUCCUACCGUGGACCUCUCUCACACGGCCCGUGAAACGCAAUUGUUUCCUAGCCCUGAGCUCACUGAUGUAGGACUUCUGCUCUUCCGGGUCCUAUGUUGGCCUACAGUUGCAAGGCACAAAGUCCUGCCCUGUUUCCUCAAGGGGAGACAGGCCACAAAGAUUCUUGAUUCCAGAUCUUUGGGAAGCUAUGAAACAACUCGCUCUCCACAGUGCUCUUAUGGUCUACUGAGAACAUCUCUCACAAAUCCUGUGAAUCGCAAUUUCUUUCCAGCCCUGAAUUCACUGAAGGAGAACUUCUGCUCUGCCGUGUAAUACAUUGCACUAGAUGUGGAAUUCCCAAACCCUGCCUGGCAUCCUCCAGAGGAGACAGGGCACAGACCGUCUUGCUUCCAACUCUUUUGCAAGAUGAGAAAGAACUCGCUUUCCCCUGGGCUCUUACAG
rnacentral:lncRNA from 1 species